GAACAGCAAGCCGCUCUUUCACAGAUCUUUAGAAGAGCUUUAAAAGAUGCCGAGCCGCUCUUUUCCAGAUGUUUAGAAGAGCUUUAAAAGAUGCCGAGCCGCUCUUUCCCAGAUCUUUAGAAGAGCUUAAAAAGACGGUCAUGAUUCUACAUAACAACAUCCGCUUGACCUCGCAAUGCCAAGAAGAAGAAAGGCGUGGAACACAUGCUUAAGCCUGUCAAGAUCUUCAGAUGAUGUUUGAGCAAAAAGUCAUCAUCCUCUUCGUCACUCUUCAUCCGUAUUUGGGGUAACAAGCACCUGCUUCCCACAAGACACUGGACAGCUGAUGUCAGACCUGCACCUUCCUUGAACAUGU